UGGCGAUGUGUUCUCGGUCAUCGGGGUUCGAGAGCCUCAGGCUGCAGCCAGCGAGGCUUUCGUGAAGUUUGCAGACGCUCAUCGCAGCAUCGAGAAAUACGGCAUCAAGCUGCUGAAGACCAUCAAACCUAUGCUCCACGAUCUGAACACAUAUCUUCACAAAGCCAUUCCCGACACGAAGCUCACCAUCAGGAAGUACCUGGACGUGAAGUUCGAGUAUCUGUCGUACUGCCUGAAGGUGAAGGAAAUGGAUGAUGAAGAAUACAGCAGCAUCGUAAGU